rnacentral:piRNA from 1 species
CUGUGCCCUUUCAAGAUGCCC